ACAUGGUGCAAUUAUGAUAAUUAAAGAACUUUGGUUUAUGGCAUUCUUAAAUUAGUUUUCACUGACUUUUAAAGCAUCAUAAGAUUUAAUCCUCUCAUCCCAUCCUUAAAUCACACCCCUGCUAGUGUCCUACAUUCAGAGUGGGAGUGCGGUGACGUUGCAGUUUAAGUUGGUGUUAAAUCAGGCUUUUGUGAUUCUCCUUUUGCUGACAGUCAGUUCUGUUCUUCUUCUGUGCUGGAUCUGUUGAUUACCUGGUUCAGAGAGAAUGUCCAGCCCACGAACAAGCCAGCCUCAAAGGAGGCGUUACUGCUGAACUCCCAGAACUGAUGCAGGACGGCAAAGUGCAGCAGUGCCAGAACUAUAGGAGCUCCAACCUUAAAUCCAUUUAUGUUGUUGUGAACAUACACUGUCAGAGCAUCUAAGAAAAUCUGGCUUAAUCUAUCCUGCCCAGAAUUGACUACUCCAAUAACAGCUUCACUGCCAAAGUGUGAGCUUUCAGGAGAUGUGCUUCUAUCCCAUCUAUUUUGGGUUCUGAUUUCUUAAGACGAUCCUACUCAUUCUGUGAAGAGCUAGUUUCCUGUUGCCUGCAAAAGGCAGCCGUCAGAUUCAUCCAAAGAGACUGUGCUCUGUAAUUGGAAUAUACCGUGAAGCAAGAUACUACUAUUGGAAAUGUUAGCCGAGGCAGGGAGCACGUCUUGUCAGAUGUCUGCUAUGGGGCACGUGCAGCACAGCUCUGCAACAUCAGCUGCAGCUACAGUCACAUUACAGCCCAAGUACAGCAGAGGAUGGAAACAACUGCUCCCCAGUAAGGUACACAAGUUUGCACUAGGACGGACCAAGGUGAGAGUAGGUGCUCAGAAGUGCUUCUUUCCCACUGCUGAUGGAUAC